rnacentral:rRNA from 1 species
GACGAACGCUGGCGGCGUGCCUAAUACAUGCAAGUCGAACGCAGUGGGGACGGGUGAGUAACACGUGGGUAACCUCCCAUCAGAGGGGAUAACACUUGGAAACAGGUGCUAAAACGAUAUUGAUGGAUGGACCCGCGGUGCAUUAGCUAGUUGGUGAGGUAACGGCUCACCAAGGCCACGAUGCAUAACGGCCCUGAGAUGGUGAUCGGCACCACUGGGACUGAGACACGGCCCGUACUCCGACGGGAGGCAGUCGUAGGGAAUCUUCGGCAAUUGACGAAAGUCUGACCGAGCAACGCGGCGUGAGUGAAGAAGGUUUUCGGAUCGUAAAACUCUGUUGUUUGAGAAGCGGUAUCUAACCAGAAAGCCACGGCUAACUACGUGCCAGCAGCCGCGGUAAUAC